ensembl:rRNA 5S_rRNA 5S ribosomal RNA
GCCUGCAGCCAUACCACCUUGUGCUGAGAUCUUAAAAGUUAACCAGGGUUGGGCUGGUUAGUAUUUGUAAGGGAGACCUCCAGGAGAUCUUAGUGCUGCAGGAA